AACGAACGCUGGCGGCAUGCCUAACACAUGCAAGUCGAACGAUGCUUUCGGGCAUAGUGGCGCACGGGUGCGUAACGCGUGGGAAUCUGCCCUUAGGUUCGGAAUAACAGUGAGAAAUUGCUGCUAAUACGGGAUGAUGUCUUCGGACCAAAGAUUUAUCGCCCGGGGAUGAGCCUGCGUAGGAUUAGCUAGUUGGUGAGGUAAUGGCCUACCAAGGCGACGAUCCUUAGCUGGUCUGAGAGGAUGAUCAGCGACACUGGGACUGAGACACGGCCCAGACUCCUACGAGAGGCAGCAGUGGUGAAUAUUGGACAAGGGGCGCAAGGCUGAUCCAGCAAGGCCGGGUGAGUGAUGAAGGCCUUAGGGUUGGAAAGCUGCUUUACCCGGGAUGAUAAUGACAGUACCGGGAGAAUAAGCUCCGGCUAACUCCGUG
rnacentral:rRNA from 1 species